rnacentral:rRNA from 1 species
UACGGAGGAUGCGAGCGUUAUCCGGAUUUAUUGGGUUUAAAGGAUGCGUAGGCGGGCUUUUAAGUCAGCGGUAAAAAUUCGGGGCUCAACCCCGUCCGGCCGUUGAAACUGGGGGCCUUGAGUGGGCGAGAAGAAGGCGGAAUGCGUGGUGUAGCGGUGAAAUGCAUAGAUAUCACGCAGAACCCCGAUUGCGAAGGCAGCCUUCCGGCGCCCUACUGACGCUGAGGCACGAAAGUGCGGGGAUCGAACAGG